CCGCGCGCGCGGUCACGUGGUGCUGGCUGCCGUCUGCGUCGGACGUUGGAAGAUCCGAGAAAUGUGUUAAACUGAAGGGUCCACUUGUCCUUCGUGAAAUCCCUUUAAAAUCAGGGCUGUUCAUUCAAGGAAACGGCUUUUCCCCAUGUCACAUUGAUGUUCCCGGAUGGACGUCGUAUUGUUGGAAGACCAUCAACUGGAUGAAAGAUGCUCUUUGGUCUACCCAAACUGGUUGUCCCUCUGAAGCUUGAUGCAGCUGAUGCCAAGUCUCCGUGGGAUGGGGACCACAGUCUAGGGUCUUUCUGCUGCCGAACAUUGAUGGGCAGAGUCCGGUGGGACACACAUCAAACAAAGGGAAGGAAUAUAAUCCCAGGCGGCCUCAUAAGCAGCAACGGUGUUAUGAUUAAGAAUAGGUGCAAACAUUAUUGAAAAUGACACUAGUGCAUGUGUAGACACUAAAAAUAUGAAGUUUAUUGAAUUUAUUUGUAUACGUUUUUAUUAUGAAGUAAGAUUAUAUUUGGAAAAAUCUAUUACUUUUAUUCUAAAAGUAGUUCAAAAUUAAAAACCUAUUAAUAUUAUUUGUAACGAUAAUGUAAAUAUUAGAGAGCAUAAAUAAUGUUGCUCCCAAACUGGGAACAAAGGGUCAUUAGCCAAUAUUUUCAGUUCCUUGAGUACUGGGAGCAAAGGCAAUGUUUUCACUCAGCUGUUGUAUUAUUUUUAAUGCACUCCAUCAUCAGGGGUCCCAUGUCCCUUACUAUUUUCUGAUAUCCCAUGAGUGCCUGACAGUAAGAUUCAUUUCCUGUUACAAAUGCCGGGAAGAGAUUUAUAGGCUCUGCCUUUAGAAGAAAUUCUGGAAUACCAAUUUGUUGAGGAAAUGUUUGAUUUCCAAUCAUAAAUCUGUGUAGGCAUUUCUCAUCCAAACAUUUCCCAAGAUACUUUAACACAUCUCUGAACCGAUGUUCCAGGUGACAUUCCUGCCAGUUUGAAUACGGCUGACUUAAUAGCAAAUGCAUCAGAACAGUCUUAAAGAUAUAGGAGCCAAGAACACAUCGCUGGUCUGGCACACUUUUUCAGUCAGAACGAUCAGUAUUUGAAGGCACUUGAGGUGACAGGAGCUUUUGGAGAUAUUCUUGGUCAUGAUUUUGAGAAACCUGUACUCACAGACAGCACAGGAAAUGUGCCAGUAGAUAGUGGGUACUGUACUUUUCUUGGGGAAAUUGGAAAAACGAGGUACAAGAUGGACAUCGGAACCCUUCAGCCUCACAGCAGGAAAGACUUUGAUGUGAAUAGUUCGUCCUGACUGAUAUUGUACUUUUAAACCACAGCAACCAGUCAUAUUACGGAAGGUAAUUUCAAAAUCAUUUUGAUCACAAAUUUUCUUCCAUGAUUUGGAUAAUAAAACCCUGAACCAUUUCACUACCUUCUUAUAAUCCAAAUAACAAUCGGAAUCCAUGAUAGAAGCAAGGCCAUGGGAAUGAAUAUCAGGCUCAAAUCCUUUGUUGUGAAUAAGACAAAGAAUAUCCCCUUCAGGUUCAUUGGUUUCACAUUGGGUAGCCAGGUUAGCGUUGUUUGCUGUAACCAUGAGAAUCCUGCCGAAACUCUGUUUCUCACGUGGAACGUCACAGGAACAGAUCUCUGGUUUAAAACAAUAACCAUCCUGGAGAAAAAUUGGAACCAAAAUAUCAUAUACGGAUGGUAUCUUACAGCUCCAUUUUUCAAACUGACUCCCAAUGCCCACACAGUCGUCGAGGAUCAGCUCUGAGCUCCACGGACAAAGAUUCCGACCGGCUUCUAAAAGUCUGUCCACAAAACAUUUUACAAAUUUACUGGUCACAAUUGGUUCUUGGCUCCCAUUUUCAAUGCAGAUGUUGUAGAACUGAUCCAGCACAUUUUGAUCAGGGCAAUUCAAAAUAUUAUUGUGUGGUCUUCGAGGAACUUCAGCUUGCAUUUCUUCCUGCUCUUCCUCAUUAUCAUCGUCCUGGGGAUUAUUUGGCAAAAUGUCACCUCUCCAGAGUCCCAAGACCUGAAUUAUGACCAGUAUGAGCAUAAUAUAGGUGUUCCAGUACUUUUUGGGUGAAUCUUCCCGAUCUGCAGAUAAAUGGAUCUUUAUAUUAGGCUGAUGGUUACUUUUCUCCUCCAUUUUGCUCUGGAGCCAUUCUAACUGCUGUUGGUACCGGUACUCAUGUUCCUUAAUUCUCUUCUGGACCUCUUCUGUCUCCACUUCAUCACUCAGGAGGCGGGGAUGGUACAAGCUCCCUGUGAUCAUCAGAACACACACGUUGAAAAGCUUCAACGCAGUUAUCAUCCUAUAAACAAGCAGAUAACAGAUAUUCAGAAGGUGUGUGUGCGCAAUUCAAAUGGAAACUACAUUAGUAGAUCUAUCAGAGACUCUGCUGCUUUGAGAUAUUGCAACAUUUCAUCAUCCAUCAUUAUUUCAUAAUUUUUGUGCCUUCCUGCCUACAGUUGGCCUCAGAUUCACCGAGUGAGCAGCUGGAUGGCAAUUAGUGAGGGCAGGAAUCACAUGAUCAUUAUAUGAACAUGAAUUACCAGUGAGGAGACUCAUUACAAAUACAGUUAGAAAACAUGGAAACAUUCAUAUCCAUUAAGGGCGGCAAGGUGUAGAGGUAGUUACUGCCUUGCAGCGCCAGAGACCCGUGUUCGAUCCUGACUAUGGGUGCUGUCUGUAUUGAGUUUGUACAUUCUCCCCUGACCUGCAUGGGUUUUUUCUCUUAAGAUCUUCGGUUUCAUCCCAUACUCCAAACAGCUGCAGGUUUGUAGGUUAAUUGGCUUGAUGUAAAUGUAAAAUUGUCUCUAGUGUGUAUACGGUUCUGUUAAUGUGCGAGGAUUACUGGUCGGUGCAGACUCAGUGGGCCGAAGGGCCUGUUUCCGCACUGUAGUAGAAAAUUCUCGAUGAUAAUGCAAGUUUCUAAUGCUUUAUGAUUAGAUAAUGGUGAGCUCAGACUAUUAAAAUAUACAUUUACACGAGCAAAAAAUAUUAGACACUAAAGCCAAUGUGGAAGCAUUGUUAGUUUGUAAAUGAUCAUGAGUCAGAAUAAAGCCACAGUAGCAAUGAAAUGAAA